CCUACGGGCGGCAGCAGUGAGGAAUAUUGGUCAAUGGACGAGAGUCUGAACCAGCCAAGUAGCGUGAAGGAUGACUGCCCUAUGGGUUGUAAACUUCUUUUAUAUGGGAAUAAAACGUUCCACGUGUGGGAUUUUGUAUGUACCAUAUGAAUAAGGAUCGGCUAACUACGUGCCAGCAGCCGCGGUAAUACGGAGGAUCCGAGCGUUAUCCGGAUUUAUUGGGUUUAAAGGGAGCGUAGGUGGAUUGUUAAGUCAGUUGUGAAAGUUUGCGGCUCAACCGUAAAAUUGCAGUUGAAACUGGCAGUCUUGAGUACAGUAGAGGUGUGCGGAAUUCGUGGUGUAGCGGUGAAAUGCUUAGAUAUCACGAAGAACUCCGAUUGCGAAGGCAGUUCACUGGACUGCAACUGACACUGAGGCUCGAAAGUGUGGGUAUCAAACAGGAUUAGAUACCCUUGUAGUC
rnacentral:rRNA from 1 species